GAGAAUAUAGUUUAAUACGUUAAAAUAUCAUUUUGUCAAAAUGAAUGAUACGGGUUCAAUUCCCGUUAUUCUCG
rnacentral:tRNA from 1 species